AGAGAGAGAGAGAGAGAGAGUUGGAUCGGUCUCGGGCGAAUUUCCUGGUUGAUUUCUUGCGGUCUCACAGUUUUAGCAUCGAUGGUCCCUGAAAUGCCGAGAGUCGUUGGGAUUCGUGCCAUCUACGCGUGCAGUCUGCCUGCCGCGAUUUUUUUUUUUUUUUAAUUUUGCCUUUUACGGGAUGUGUUUGUUGAGGAGUAAUUUUUAUUUUCUUUUUUUUUUUUUUGAGAUUGUAUUUAGUUAGAAUAUAUAUUCACGAGUGGUGAAAAAAAUAAAGGAAAUCAGAUAGUGGUAUGCUUUAUGCUUUGCUGAAUUUUAAAUAUAUUAAGUGCGUUUUAACUUAUAUUUAGCGCAUUGAUCAAAAAUAUGAGACUCGCUAUUUGCAAUGACAAUGAUACAUCGUCCUAUUUUCUUGGAACUAUAUUCGAAUUGGAUAACACUCGAGAAGAAUUUCAUAAUCUGGGUGGUUGGGUAGAAGAAUUUUUCAUGAAAGCGAACUUUAUAAGUUAAAUAAGAUCAAGGCUGGUUCUCU